ACGCUGGCGGCGUGCUUAACACAUGCAAGUCGAACGAAAAUACCAAGCUUGCUUGGUUGAUUAGUGGCGAACGGGUGAGUAACACGUGAGUAACCUGCCCCUUACUUUCCUGGAUAACUGCUCGAAAGGGUAGCUAAUACGGGAUAUUCUGGCCUUCCUGCAUGGGUUGGUUUGGAAAGGUUGUUUUUCUGGUAAGGGAUGGGCUCGCGGCCUAUCAGCUUGUUGGUGGGGUGAUGGCCUACCAAGGCUUUGACGGGUAGCCGGCCUGAGAGGGUGGACGGUCACACUGGGACUGAGAUACGGCCCAGACUCCUACGGGAGGCAGCAGUGGGGAAUAUUGCACAAUGGGCGCAAGCCUGAUGCAGCGACGCCGCGUGAGGGAUGAAGGCCUUCGGGUUGUAAACCUCUUUCGUCAGGGAACAAGGCACCGUCUUUUGGUGGCGUUGAGGGUACCUGGAUAAGAAGCGCCGGCUAACUACGUGCCAGCAGCCGCGGUAAUACGUAGGGCGCAAGCGUUGUCCGGAAUUAUUGGGCGUAAAGAGCUCGUAGGCGGCUGGUCGCGUCUGUCGCGAAAACUUCCGGCCCAACCGGGGGCUUGCGGUGGGUACGGGCCGGCUAGAGUGCGGUAGGGGUAACUGGAACCCCUGGUGUAGCGGUGGAAUGCGCAGAUAUCAGGAAGAACACCGAUGGCGAAGGCAGGUUACUGGGCCGUUACUGACGCUGAGGAGCGAAAGCGUGGGGAGCGAACAGGAUUAGAUACCCUGGUAGUCCACGCCGUAAACGUUGGGCACUAGGUGUGAGGCUCCUUUCCGGGGGUUUUGCGCCGUAGCUAACGCAUUAAGUGCCCCGCCUGGGGAGUACGGCCGCAAGGCUAAAACUCAAAGGAAUUGACGGGGGCCCGC
rnacentral:rRNA from 1 species